GUUUGGACUCUCAUGCCUCAGCAUGGUGUUCAGGUGUAAAGGACUCAGUAGGGGCUUAACCUAAGUACGAAGCUUGGAACAGUUUGCACAGAAAGCUCUAAGUGUUCUUCCUUCCUUGGGCCUCAUCACACUCUUCAUCUCACCAGCAGCAAGUUCAGUGUACUGCAUGCAUAAUAACUUAAGAAUGGUUAAAUCCCUUGGAUCCUGGAUCUAGCUCCAUCCCCUAACACCAAUGUUGCAAACAUCUGGCUUCUUAUAUUUCUAUGAAAAUGCAUCCCUGGGAGACUGGAACUGAAUUCAGAGAAUGAAAUUCAUCUUGCCCCAGAGGUAUUUCAAGAGCACGAUUCACAUAAUCCUAAAUUACAGAAACGGCUUAGAACAGAAAAAAAUAGGCUUAGAUUUUCACUGGAGAAAGAACACUCUAACAACCCUGUGACACCUGGACAAGCAAAGAAUCCUGUUGGAAAAAUGCAUUCCUUUGGUGCUGCCACAAAGCGGCUGCAUGCGGGGGCCUGGACCAUGAGCGAGUGCAGAGACUGGCACAGGGAGAAGACAUCUGUUGCCUGCCUGAGCAAUGUGCAAGCCCUGGGAGCUGAUUUACUGCAGAGCAUGAAGGCUACUGCUGGAUGCUGCCUAACACAUUCACACGUUAUAAGAAACAAAGAAACAAAUCCCUUUUAAAGACCACACAGUCAAGUUGCAGUAUGUGGACUAGCAUUUCCUUACAAAACAUUGCAUGAUUUGUCAUUUUCUUUUACAAAAAAGAAAACUAAACAAGACUAACACUUAUGUACACACAUUCCCAGUAGCGCGUGACUACGCCAUGCCUAUUAGUAGGCAUAGUCAAUGGUCAACUCUCUCCUGGAAUAAAGGAGGGGUUCAGUGGGGUUCAGCUCAACACUGGAUAUUCUAAAGUAGCCUCCAAUUUUCAUUGACUCAGUAGAAUGGCCUGGGUUGAAAAAGACCUCAAGGAUCAUUCAGUUUCAACCCCCCUGCUAAGUGCACGGUUGCCAACCACUAGACCAG